GUGGGGAAUCUUCCGCAAUGGACGAAAAUCUGACGGAGCAACGCCGCGUGAGUGAAGAAGGUUUUCGGAUCGUAAAGCUCUUUCGUUAGGGACGAACGUGCUCUUUGUGAAUAAUGAGGAGUAAUGACGGUACCUAAAUAAGAAGCCACGGCUAACUACGUGCCAGCAGCCGCGGUAAUACGUAGGUGGCAAGCGUUGUCCGGAAUUAUUGGGCGUAAAGCGCGCGCAGGCGGGAUAUCAAGUCUGUCUUAAAAGUGCGAGGCUCAACCUCGUGAGGGGACAGAAACUGGUAUUCUUGAGUGUCGGAGAGGAAAGUGGAAUUCCAAGUGUAGCGGUGAAAUGCGUAGAGAUUUGGAAGAACACCAGUGGCGAAGGCGACUUUCUGGACGAAAACUGACGCUGAGGCGCGAAAGCCAGGGGAGCGAACGGGAUUAGAUACCCGGGUAGUCC
rnacentral:rRNA from 1 species